rnacentral:misc_RNA from 1 species
GAAGAAAAUAAUAACCAGCACCAUAGAUUCAUUCAAAAUUUGACAAGAGGAAAAACAAGAAAAGACUGGCUUGCAAAUCAAAUUUCAGGAAUAUUGCAGCUAAGUUUCUAAUCUUAGGAUUUCAAUUCCUUUUCAACACCAAAUUAUAGCAGCAUCAAUCUGACAUUUACAAAUUAUUGCAAUGUAGGAUCCAAAUUUUCAUUUUGCAAUUUCUCAAUCCUUUUUUGGUCUGACAAAAUGAGCUCACUUUCUUUGCUCAUAAAUCAAUUUGACAUAUAACUGGCAUGAACUGGUUGAGUAUCAUACAAGAAAUCCUAGAGAAAAUUUCUGGAUCUAAGACGAAUCUUU